rnacentral:rRNA from 1 species
AGCUGAACCACGCCACGACGCUCUACUUUCGGGAGGGCAAGAACUGGUGCCAGCACCUGCGGGAA